CACUAGGUGUCUGAAGCAAGUAGUGGUCUCUUAAACCACCCAUGGUAGUCUAGCACUUACCCCUAGUG
rnacentral:tRNA from 1 species